rnacentral:rRNA from 1 species
UACAGAGGUCCCAAGCGUUGUUCGGAUUCAUUGGGCGUAAAGGGUGCGUAGGCGGCGCGGUAAGUCGGGUGUGAAAUCUCGGAGCUUAACUCCGAAACUGCAUUCGAUACUGCCGUGCUGGAGGACUGGAGAGGAGACUGGAAUUUACGGUGUAGCGGUGAAAUGCGUAGAUAUCGUAAGGAAGACCAGUGGCGAAGGCGGGUCUCUGGACAGUUCCUGACGCUUAGGCACGAAGGCCAGGGGAGCAAACGGG